rnacentral:rRNA from 1 species
GACGAACGCUGGCGGCGUGCCUAAUACAUGCAAGUCGAGCGGACGGAUGGGAGCUUGCUCCCUGAAGUCAGCGGCGGACGGGUGAGUAACACGUAGGCAACCUGCCCAUAAGACUGGGAUAACUAGCGGAAACGCUAGCUAAUACCGGAUAGGCAACGGAGUCGCAUGACUUUGUUGAGAAAGGUGGAGCAAUCUACCACUUAUGGAAGGGCCUGCGGCGCAUUAGCUAGUUGGUGAGGUAACGGCUCACCAAGGCGACGAUGCGUAGCCGACCUGAGAGGGUGAUCGGCCACACUGGGACUGAGACACGGCCCAGACUCCUACGGGAGGCAGCAGUAGGGAAUCUUCCGCAAUGGACGAAAGUCUGACGGAGCAACGCCGCGUGAGUGAUGAAGGUUUUCGGAUCGUAAAGCUCUGUUGCCAGGGAAGAACGCUUAGUGGAGUAACUGCCAUUAAGGUGACGGUACCUGAGAAGAAAGCCCCGGCUAACUACGUGCCAGCCGCCGCGGUAA